rnacentral:rRNA from 1 species
GGCGGACGGGUGAGUAACGCGUGAGAAUCUGGCUCCAGGUCGGGGAUAACAGUUGGAAACGACUGCUAAUACCGGAUGUGCCGAGAGGUGAAAGAUUUAUUGCCUGGAGAUGAGCUCGCGUCUGAUUAGCUAGUUGGUGGUGUAAGGGACCACCAAGGCGUCGAUCAGUAGCUGGUCUGAGAGGAUGAUCAGCCACACUGGGACUGAGACACGGCCCAGACUCCUACGGGAGGCAGCAGUGGGGAAUUUUCCGCAAUGGGCGAAAGCCUGACGGAGCAAUACCGCGUGAGGGAGGAAGGCUCUUGGGUCGUAAACCUCUUUUCUCAAGGAAGAAGAAAGUGACGGUACUUGAGGAAUAAGCAUCGGCUAACUCCGUGCCAGCAGCCGCGGUAAUACGGAGGAUGCAAGCGUUAUCCGGAAUGAUUGGGCGUAAAGGGUCUGCAGGUGGAACUGAAAGUCUGCUGUUAAAGAGUUUGGCUUAACCAAAUAAAAGCGGUGGAAACUACAGAACUAGAGUGCGGUAGGGGCAAAAGGAAUUCCUGGUGUAGCGGUGAAAUGCGUAGAUAUCAGGAAGAACACCGGUGGCGAAAGCGUUUUGCUAGACCGUAACUGACACUGAGGGACGAAAGCUAGGGGAGCGAAUGGGAUUAGAUACCCCAGUAGUCCUAGCCGUAAACGAUGGAUACU